CCUACGGGAGGCUGUAGUGGGGAAUAUUGGACAAUGGGGGGAACCCUGAUCCAGCGACGCCGCGUGAGUGAAGAAGUAUUUCGGUAUGUAAAGCUCUAUCAGCAGGGAAGAAAGAAAUGACGGUACCUGACUAAGAAGCCCCGGCUAACUACGUGCCAGCAGCCGCGGUAAUACGUAGGGGGCAAGCGUUAUCCGGAUUUACUGGGUGUAAAGGGAGCGUAGACGGCGGUGCAAGUCAGAUGUGAAAGCCCGGGGCUCAACCCCGGGACUGCAUUUGGAACUGUGCUGCUAGAGUGUCGGAGAGGCAGGCGGAAUUCCUAGUGUAGCGGUGAAAUGCGUAGAUAUUAGGAGGAACACCAGUGGCGAAGGCGGCCUGCUGGACGAUGACUGACGUUGAGGCUCGAAAGCGUGGGGAGCAAACAGGAUUAGAUACCCCAGUAGUC
rnacentral:rRNA from 1 species